UACGUAGGGCGCAAGCGUUGUCCGGAAUUACUGGGUGUAAAGCGCGUGUAGGCGGGAGGCCAAGUCUGCUGUGAAAUCGCCCGGCUCAACUGGGCGGGGUCGGUGGAAACUGGUCACCUGGAGGACGGUAGAGGCGAGUGGAAUUCCCGGUGUAGUGGUGAAAUGCGUAGAGAUCGGGAGGAACACCAGUGGCGAAGGCGGCUCACUGGCCCGAUACUGACGCUGAGGUGCGAAAGCGUGGG
rnacentral:rRNA from 1 species